rnacentral:rRNA from 1 species
AGAACCUGAAACCGUGUACGUACAAGCAGUAGGAGCACCUUCGUGGUGUGACUGCGUACCUUUUGUAUAAUGGGUCAGCGACUUAUAUUCAGUGGCAAGGUUAACCGUAUAGGGGAGCCGUAGCGAAAGCGAGUCUUAACUGGGCGCUCAGUCUCUGGAUAUAGACCCGAAACCGGGUGAUCUAGCCAUGGGCAGGUUGAAGGUUGAGUAACAUCAACUGGAGGACCGAACCGACUAAUGUUGAAAAAUUAGCGGAUGACUUGUGGCUAGGGGUGAAAGGCCAAUCAAACUCGGAGAUAGCUGGUUCUCCCCGAAAGCUAUUUAGGUAGCGCCUCGGACGAAUACUACUGGGGGUAGAGCACUGUUAAGGCUAGGGGGUCAUCCCGACUUACCAACCCUUUGCAAACUCCGAAUACCAGUAAGUACUAUCCGGGAGACACACGGCGGGUGCUAACGUCCGUCGUGGAGAGGGAAACAACCCAGACCGCCAGCUAAGGUCCCAAAGUAUUGCUAAGUGGGAAACGAUGUGGGAAGGCUCAGACAGCUAGGAUGUUGGCUUAGAAGCAGCCAUCAUUUAAAGAAAGCGUAAUAGCUCACUAGUCGAGUCGGCCUGCGCGGAAGAUGUAACGGGGCUAAGCAAUACACCGAAGCUGCGGCAAUGUCUUUUAGACAUUGGGUAGGGGAGCGUUCUGUAAGCCGUUGAAGGUGAAUCGUAAGGUUUGCUGGAGGUAUCAGAAGUGCGAAUGCUGACAUGAGUAACGACAAAGGGGGUGAAAAACCUCCUCGCCGGAAGACCAAGGGUUCCUGUCCAACGUUAAUCGGGGCAGGGUGAGUCGACCCCUAAGGUGAGGCCGAAAGGCGUAAUCGAUGGGAAACGGGUUAAUAUUCCCGUACUUCUGACUAUUGCGAUGGGGGGACGGAGAAGGCUAGGUGGGCCAGGCGACGGUUGUCCUGGUUCAAGUGCGUAGGCUUGAGAGUUAGGUAAAUCCGGCUCUCUCUAAGGCUGAGACACGACGUCGAGCUACUACGGUAGUGAAGUCAUUGAUGCCAUGCUUCCAGGAAAAGCCUCUAAGCUUCAGAUAGUCAGGAAUCGUACCCCAAACCGACACAGGUGGUCGGGUAGAGAAUACCAAGGCGCUUGAGAGAACUCGGGUGAAGGAACUAGGCAAAAUGGUACCGUAACUUCGGGAGAAGGUACGCUCUUGAUGGUGAAGUCCCUCGCGGAUGGAGCUGACGAGAGUCGCAGAUACCAGGUGGCUGCAACUGUUUAUUAAAAACACAGCACUGUGCAAAAUCGCAAGAUGACGUAUACGGUGUGACGCCUGCCCGGUGCCGGAAGGUUAAUUGAUGGGGUUAGCGCAAGCGAAGCUCUUGAUCGAAGCCCCGGUAAACGGCGGCCGUAACUAUAACGGUCCUAAGGUAGCGAAAUUCCUUGUCGGGUAAGUUCCGACCUGCACGAAUGGCGUAAUGAUGGCCACGCUGUCUCCACCCGAGACUCAGUGAAAUUGAAAUCGCUGUGAAGAUGCAGUGUACCCGCGGCUAGACGGAAAGACCCCGUGAACCUUUACUACAGCUUGGCACUGAACAUUGAACCUACAUGUGUAGGAUAGGUGGGAGGCUAUGAAGACGUGACGCCAGUUGCGUUGGAGCCGUCCUUGAAAUACCACCCUUGUAUGUUUGAUGUUCUAACUUAGACCCAUUAUCUGGGUUGAGGACAGUGCCUGGUGGGUAGUUUGACUGGGGCGGUCUCCUCCCAAAGAGUAACGGAGGAGCACGAAGGUGGGCUAAUCACGGUUGGACAUCGUGAGGUUAGUGCAAUGGCAUAAGCCCGCUUAACUGCGAGAAUGACGGUUCGAGCAGGUGCGAAAGCAGGUCAUAGUGAUCCGGUGGUUCUGUAUGGAAGGGCCAUCGCUCAACGGAUAAAAGGUACUCCGGGGAUAACAGGCUGAUACCGCCCAAGAGUUCAUAUCGACGGCGGUGUUUGGCACCUCGAUGUCGGCUCAUCACAUCCUGGGGCUGAAGUCGGUCCCAAGGGUAUGGCUGUUCGCCAUUUAAAGUGGUACGCGAGCUGGGUUUAGAACGUCGUGAGACAGUUCGGUCCCUAUCUGCCGUGGGCGUUGGAAGAUUGAAGGGGGCUGCUCCUAGUACGAGAGGACCGGAGUGGACGAACCUCUGGUGUUCGGGUUGUGUCGCCAGACGCAUUGCCCGGUAGCUAAGUUCGGAAUUGAUAAGCGCUGAAAGCAUCUAAGCGCGAAGCGAGCCCUGAGAUGAGUCUUCCCUGACAGUUUAACUGUCCUAAAGGGUUGUUCGAGACUAGAACGUUGAUAGGCAGGGUGUGUAAGCGUUGUGAGGCGUUGAGCUAACCUGUACUAAUUGCCCGUGAGGCUUAACCAUACAACACCCAAGG